AUGGAUAAGAUGCUUCGCAAGCUCGGCUGGUCUGCUGCCAGACGACGCCAACAAGGAGAAAGUAGUAGAGGGAAUAACACGCACACGGUGUCGCCAAGGCCUCUUACAUUCCAUUUAUUAGAAGAAAUUACAAAUGGUUUUUCUGAGAACCGAAAACUUGGUACUGGUGCAUAUGGAACUGUUUACAAGGGGGAGCAUAAAGACGGGGAAAAGAUUGCUGUGAAGAUGCUUCAUGACAUUCUAGGACUUGACAAUGAGCAAUUUGAAAAAGAAUAUUUCAACCUUGCAGAUCUGGACCACAAAAAUAUUGUGCGAUUAGUUGGUUAUUGCUAUGAAACUCGGCGAGAAUGUGUACCUUACGAUGGAAGAAUGGUUUUUGCUGACAUAACAAAGAGAGCACUUUGCUUUGAGUAUAUGCGUAAUGGAGGUCUUGACAAAUGUCUUUCAGAUGAAACUAGUGGACAUGAUUGGUGCACACGCUAUUCAAUAAUUAAGGGGAUUUGCGAGGGUCUGAAAUACCUGCAUGAGGAACUGGAAUAUCCUAUGUACCAUUUAGAUUUAAAACCGGCCAAUAUAUUACUGGAUGAGAAACUUAUGCCGAAAAUCGCAGAUUUCGGCUUGUCAAGGUUCUUUAGAGGAGAGCAAUCGCAAAUCACAAAAAGUGCUAUAGGAACACAUGGAUACGUACCACCCGAAUACAUAGAUGCAUCUGUUCUCUCAAUUAAGUUUGACAUAUUCAGCUUGGGUGUUGUAAUUAUAAAGAUAAUGACUGGACCAAUGGGCUACUUCAGAAGUGCUGAAAUGUCUGCCAAACAAUUCAUAGAGCUUGUACGGACAAACUGGAGGAAGAGGCUACGUGCAGCAUCAGUGUAUCCGCUGGAGUCAUACUCUGAACAAGUAAAGAGGUGCACUGAAAUAGCUGUAAGUUGUGUGGAGGCUGAUCGAUCCAAAAGGCCGUCUAUAGGGGAAAUUGUGAAUAAGCUGAAUGAAACAGAGACAAUCAUUCGAAAUGAGGUAUUAGAACCAGGUGCAUUCAUAGGAAGAGCCAACAUUGCUGGUCUGGAAAAGGCUGUUGCGGUGUUAGAUACCCUUGGCAGUGGCAGGGCAAGUUCGAAUCAUCGCAGCGGGUUUCUCUAUGGGGGAAAAAAUCAAGGAAAUAAAGUCAAUGUUUUGGCAUUUGAAGUCGGAAAUACAAUAGCUAAAGCUUCCAGUUUGUGGAGAUCAUGCUCUGACGAGAGUAUAAAAGAACUGAAGGAAGAAAUCUUGCAUUCAGACGGUGUGCAAAUAUUAAUUUCCUCAAAUUCUAGUGAGCUCCUGCAUAUUGCUACUAUCGACAAGAGGGAAGACCUUGCCAUCUUUUUGAGAGAAGUAAUUCGAUUUGGUGACCUGUGUACAAACCCGAUAUGGCAUAACCUGGGACGCUAUUUUGAGAAGUCAACGAAAGAUUACAUGCCCCAGGAUCAUUCAAAAGAGCAUAUUGGAGCUACUUUCCAGCAGCUGAUUAGUUUGGCUCAAAACACUUCUGUAUGUUCUACUCCCUCCGUCCCAAAAUAA
rnacentral:rRNA from 1 species